UGAUACGUAGGGUGCGAGCGUUGUCCGGAAUCACUGGGCGUAAAGGGCGCGUAGGCGGUCUGCUAAGCGUGCGGUGAAAGCCUGGGGCUCAACCCCAGGUCUGCCGUGCGAACUGGUGGACUAGAGCACUGUAGAGGCAGGUGGAAUUCCGGGUGUAGCGGUGGAAUGCGUAGAGAUCCGGAAGAACACCGGUGGCGAAGGCGGCCUGCUGGGCAGUUGCUGACGCUGA
rnacentral:rRNA from 1 species